rnacentral:rRNA from 1 species
AUUGAACGCUGGCGGCAGGCUUAACACAUGCAAGUCGAGCGGUAACAGAGAGAAGCUUGCUUCUCUGCUGACGAGCGGCGGACGGGUGAGUAAUGCCUAGGAAUCUGCCUAGUAGUGGGGGAUAACUUGCCGAAAGGUAAGCUAAUACCGCAUACGUCCUACGGGAGAAAGGAGGGGACCUUCGGGCCUUUCGCUAUUAGAUGAGCCUAGGUCGGAUUAGUUAGUUGGUGAGGUAAUGGCUCACCAAGACCGCGAUCCGUAACUGGUCUGAGGGGAUGAUCAGUCACACUGGAACUGAGACACGGUCCAGACUCCUACGGGAGGCAGCAGUGGGGAAUAUUGGACAAUGGGGGGAACCCUGAUCCAGCCAUGCCGCGUGUGUGAAGAAGGUCUUAGGAUUGUAAAGCACUUUAAGUUGGGAGGAAGAGCAGUUAACUAAUAUUUGACUGUUUUGACGUUACCGACAGAACAAGCACCGGCUAACUUCGUGCCAGCCGCCGCAGUAA